rnacentral:rRNA from 1 species
GAUGAACGCUGACAGAAUGCUUAACACAUGCAAGUCGAUGGGGAAGUGGUGCUUGCACCAUGGUAACCAUGGCGGACGGGUGAGUAACGCGUAAGGAACUUGCCUGCGGGACUGGGAUAACAGCAGGAAACUGCUGAUAAUACCGGAUAAGGUCAUUAAGCUGCAUAGCUUAGUGAUGAAAGGAGACGCCUGCGGAGAGCCUUGCGUCCUAUUAGCUAGUUGGAGGGGUAACGGCCCACCAAGGCGAAGAUAGGUAGCCGGCCUGAGAGGGUGGACGGCCACAAGGGGACUGAGAUACGGCCCUUACUCCUACGGGAGGCAGCAGUGGGGAAUAGUGGACAAUGGGGGCAACCCUGAUCCAGCAAUUCUGUGUGCAUGAAGACGGUUUUCGGAUUGUAAAGUGCUUUCAGCAGGGAAGAAGGAAGUGACGGUACCUGCAGAAGAAGCGACGGCUAAAUACGUG